UCCUCCUCCUUGGGUUUGGCUUGCACUUUCUUCUCAGGUCUUUCUCCUCUGAGGCAGAAGAAGCCCCUGGGCAUUAU
rnacentral:lncRNA from 1 species